CUGAGGCUUGGAGAGUAUGCAAAACUUUGUAAAGCUUGUGCCUAAUAAGUGGUGGAAGAUUGAACUUGGAUCUAUCUGACUUCAAAGUUUCAAUUUUUCUCUUUCUUUUCCUAUUCUCUCCUCUCCUUUCUACUUUAAUUUAAUUGAAAAUAAACACAGAUGCUUUUUCCCAGCAUGUGAACAAUGAACAAAAUCCGUUAGUCUGGGAUUUUUUAAAAAAAAACUCCUGAGGGUUAUCACUUCCAUCUCCAGCCCUAUCCCAUGCCAAAUUGACCAAAUUUGUUGAUUGGUUUUAAUAAAUACCUUCAGUUGUUUAUUCUCUCAAUUAAUGUGCUGCAAGCGUUUUGAGUCACCUUUUGGUCACCACCUAUCAUAUCAUCUGGCUUCUAUCUUCCAGUGAAAUACAACUUGAUAAUUUUUUUCCUAUAUUUUCCUCUUAAGGUAAAUGAUGAAUUUAUCCAAAGAGAAUUUUUGAUUCUAGGUUCUCUCUCGUUCAUAAGGCAGUUCUCAACAGACAUCUGUUACUGACUUAUUUGUACAGCUGCGUUCAUUUUACCAUUCACGGCUGCCAGGUUCUCCUCCACCAUCAAUGUCCUCACUUUUCCUAUGGUGACAGCCACCAAAGCCAGUUCUAAUUUGUGUCUAAAUUCCUAACGCGGGAAUGGGGACAGGGAUUCUGAUGACAUUUGAAGAGAACAGAAAAUAUUGUUUGCUUCUACGAUGUGUCUAACAGCACAAGAAACAAGAACAAAAUCUCAAUUUAUUUAAGAAGAUGCUUUAUACCAUGUUAAUCUGCCCCUUCACAUCUACCUGGAACAAAGAUUCAUUUCGUGAUAUUAUUUUACCGCAAGUUAUGCUUGCCAUGACUUUCAACGUUCACGUAAGGAGAAUAAAAAGCAAUCAAGAAUUGGAACAUCGCAAAGAAUUAACAAAAUGAUAUUGCUCAAAAUUGGAAUGGACGGCCUACCUCCUUUACCUCAAAUCCUGUCCCUCCUUCAAUGUUCACCUCCUGUCCCAUUUUCUUCAUGAAAUCUUCUUUUAUGACUGAAACUUCCAGUGACUUUCUCCCCUUUCACCGAGUUUCUAUUGCAAUUAAAGUCCAAGGCCCCCAGGUCAGCACUGGAUCAUACAUACC
rnacentral:lncRNA from 1 species